AUGAACGCUAGCUACAGGCUUAACACGUGCAAGUCGAGGGGCAUCAGGAAGAAAGCUUGCUUUCUUUGCUGGCGACCGGCGCACGGGUGAGUAACACGUAUCCAACCUGCCCUUUACUCGGGGAUAGCCUUUCGAAAGAAAGAUUAAUACCCGAUGGCAUAAUGAUUCCGCAUGGUUUCAUUAUUAAAGGAUUCCGGUAAAGGAUGGGGAUGCGUUCCAUUAGGUUGUUGGUGAGGUAACGGCUCACCAAGCCUUCGAUGGAUAGGGGUUCUGAGAGGAAGGUCCCCCACAUUGGAACUGAGACACGGUCCAAACUCCUACGGGAGGCAGCAGUGAGGAAUAUUGGUCAAUGGGCGCUAGCCUGAACCAGCCAAGUAGCGUGAAGGAUGAAGGCUCUAUGGGUCGUAAACUUCUUUUAUAUAAGAAUAAAGUGCAGUAUGUAUACUGUUUUGUAUGUAUUAUAUGAAUAAGGAUCGGCUAACUCCGUGCCAGCAGCCGCGGUAAUACGGAGGAUCCGAGCGUUAUCCGGAUUUAUUGGGUUUAAAGGGAGCGUAGGUGGACUGGUAAGUCAGUUGUGAAAGUUUGCGGCUCAACCGUAAAAUUGCAGUUGAUACUGUCAGUCUUGAGUACAGUAGAGGUGGGCGGAAUUCGUGGUGUAGCGGUGAAAUGCUUAGAUAUCACGAAGAACUCCGAUUGCGAAGGCAGCUCACUGGACUGCAACUGACACUGAUGCUCGAAAGUGUGGGUAUCAAACAGGAUUAGAUACCCUGGUAGUCCACACAGUAAACGAUGAAUACUCGCUGUUUGCGAUAUACAGUAAGCGGCCAAGCGAAAGCAUUAAGUAUUCCACCUGGGGAGUACGCCGGCAACGGUGAAACUCAAAGGAAUUGACGGGGGCCCGCGCAAGCGGAGGAACAUGUGGUUUAAUUCGAUGAUACGCGAGGAACCUUACCCGGGCUUAAAUUGCAGUGGAAUGAUGUGGAAACAUGUCAGUGAGCAAUCACCGCUGUGAAGGUGCUGCAUGGUUGUCGUCAGCUCGUGCCGUGAGGUGUCGGCUUAAGUGCCAUAACGAGCGCAACCCUUAUCUUUAGUUACUAACAGGUUAUGCUGAGGACUCUAGAGAGACUGCCGUCGUAAGAUGUGAGGAAGGUGGGGAUGACGUCAAAUCAGCACGGCCCUUACGUCCGGGGCUACACACGUGUUACAAUGGGGGGUACAGAAGGCAGCUAGCGGGUGACCGUAUGCUAAUCCCAAAAGCCUCUCUCAGUUCGGAUCGAAGUCUGCAACCCGACUUCGUGAAGCUGGAUUCGCUAGUAAUCGCGCAUCAGCCACGGCGCGGUGAAUACGUUCCCGGGCCUUGUACACACCGCCCGUCAAGCCAUGGGAGCCGGGGGUACCUGAAGUACGUAACCGCAAGGAUCGUCCUAGGGUAAAACUGG
rnacentral:rRNA from 1 species